CUCAUCUUCGAGCUACUAAUGUCGGCGUCAUGCUACUCUCGUUGCCAUUCCAGUCUUGUUCGUCGUCGUCAAGCUACUAAUCUCGUCGUCAAGGUGCUGCGGAUAACAUCGAUUGCUGCAUUAAUCACGAUCCAUUGCUCUAGCUCGAUCCCUGAGUGUUGGUUGAAGAAACAAAAGGAUGUCCUAUUUCCUGCUUUACAAGAGACUGGGGAAAAUGUUAUCUGGACUUCUAGGCUUAUUUUUGGAAAAGGAGAGAUUGAAGGUGGAUAUCUAGAAGGCAACAAAAGUCUGAACAAUUGGGACGUCUUUACUCACAUGCCAGGAAAUAUCAAGGAUGGGAGCACUGGAGAUGUUGCUGAUGAUCACUUCCACCGAUACAUGAUUCUGUCAUCUGCCGCCCCCAGAUAUUUUGCUAGGCUAUAAUUGCAGAUCUCGUCAAAUUUUAGAAUUUAGCUGGCUGAAAACAUCAGAAGAGGUUUUGAUGUAGGGGAUAUAAAGACUUAAAUAGGAGAAUGCGGUCAAGAUGGCUUUGAUAUAUGAAUCUUUUGAACCGAAAUUGAUGAAAGCCAAGAUUAAGAUUGAUACUGACAGGUUCCUAGUGAGUAUUUGACGUUGAGGAAUAAGUUUUUGGAAACAAAUAGAGAAUAUAGUCUUUGACCGAGAAGUUUCAUGUUUUGUAAUCAAAUGUUGAUGUACAUUGUUUGAAUGUUAGUUCGGUACAAUAUUUUCUGAGUUGAAAUGUUGGUAGUGUGGAUUUAAUACUUUGUAGUUUUUAUACUAUACUGAUGUAUGUUGGCACUUAUCAUUAUGGUUGAUUAUGCUCAACAUAAUCACUUUUAUAUUGUGUAUUAAAA